AUACUUACCUAGCUGGGGAGAUAUGAUCACAAAGCUGGUUUGCCCAAGGCAAGGCUUAUCUAUAGUGCUCCAGAUGUGCGAACUGACCCUGCGAUUAGUGGUGUAGGGGACUGCAUUCUCACUCCCCUC
rnacentral:snRNA from 1 species